GUGGGGAAUAUUGGACAAUGGGCGCAAGCCUGAUCCAGCCAUGCCGCGUGAGUGAUGAAGGCCCUAGGGUUGUAAAGCUCUUUCACCGGAGAAGAUAAUGACGGUAUCCGGAGAAGAAGCCCCGGCUAACUUCGUGCCAGCAGCCGCGGUAAUACGAAGGGGGCUAGCGUUGUUCGGAAUUACUGGGCGUAAAGCGCACGUAGGCGGACAUUUAAGUCAGGGGUGAAAUCCCGGGGCUCAACCCCGGAACUGCCUUUGAUACUGGGUGUCUGGAGUAUGGAAGAGGUAAGUGGAAUUCCGAGUGUAGAGGUGAAAUUCGUAGAUAUUCGGAGGAACACCAGUGGCGAAGGCGGCUUACUGGCUCGAUACUGACGCUGAGGUGCGAAAGCGUGGGGAGCAAACAGGAUUAGAAACCCCAGUAGUCC
rnacentral:rRNA from 1 species